rnacentral:rRNA from 1 species
GACGAACGCUGGCGGCGCGCCUAACACAUGCAAGUCGAACGAGCGAGAGAGAGCUUGCUUUCUCGAGCGAGUGGCGAACGGGUGAGUAACGCGUGAGGAACCUGCCUCAAAGAGGGGGACAACAGUUGGAAACGACUGCUAAUACCGCAUAAGACCACGGGGUCGACAUGGCCCACGGGGUAAAGGUAGCAAACCGGUUUGGGGUGGGCGUCGCGUCCGAUUAGAUAGUUGGUGAGGUAACGGCCCACCAAGUCGACGAUCGGUAGCCGACCUGAGAGGGUGAUCGGCCACAUUGGAACUGAGAGACGGUCCAA